rnacentral:rRNA from 2 species
UAAGACGUAGGAAGCAAGCGUUGUCCGGAAUUACUGGGCGUAAAGAGCUCGUAGGCGGGAUCGUAAGUCUUAGAGUAAAUCUCACGGCUCAACCGUGGGGCCUUCUGAGAUACUGCGAUUCUUGAGGAUGUCAGAGGAAAGUAGAAUUCCCGGUGUAGCGGUGAAAUGCGUAGAUAUCGGGAGGAAUACCAGUGGCGAAGGCGACUUUCUGGGACAUUCCUGACGCUGAGGAGCGAAAGCGUGGGGAGCAAACGGG